UUCUGGGAGGAUUGACAGAUUGAGAGCUCUUUCUUGUUUCGGUGGAUGGUGGCGCAUGUCCGUUUUUAGUCGGUGGAGCGAUUUUUCUGGUUAAUUCCGAUAACGAACGAGACUCUAAACUAGGUUACAAGUCAAGAAGGUAUCAAGUGCUCCUCAAAGGGAAUCAUAUAUCCCUCCGCCACCUCCGCAUCCAUAGCGUCCCAUCGUCUCCGUGACGUCGCGGCCAACGCGCAGGAGGGUCUUGCCUUUCAGUACAUAUUUGCUUUAUCUUUCGACUUUGACGUACCAUUUCGCGAAAUCCAGCGGAGGGAGUUCCCCGCUAUAUCUAGCCAAAAUAUUUCCCCGCAGCAAAAUUUCCCCGCUAGAUCUAGCGGAAGAAUUUCCCCGCUAAAUCUAGCGGAAAAAUUUCCCCACUAAAUCUAGUGGAAAAAUUUCCCCGCUAAAUCCAGCGGAAAAAUUUCCCCGCUAUAUCUAGUGGAAAAAUUUCCCCGCUAAAUCCAGCGGAAAAAUUUCCCCGCUAAAUCUAGUGGAAAAAUUUCCCCGCUAAAUCUAGCGGCAAAAUUUCCCCGCUAAAUCUAGUGGAAAAAUUUCCCCGCUAAAUCCAGCGGAAAAAUUUCCCCGCUAAAUCUAGCGGAAAAAUUCCCCCGCUAAAUCUAGCGGAAAAUUUUCCCGGCUAACUCUAGCGGGGAAAUUUGGCCACGUGACCUGGGGAGUCAGGUGACCCCUCCCCCGAGGUCACUUGACGCCCCAGGUCACGUGACCCCCCCGAGAACACGUGGCCCUCAGUACCCUUCCCUCCUCCUCAAGAGCUGCGCUCCAAUUCGGCGUUACAGGGAGUUGUAAACGGCUUUCACUUUUACCCUCUCCGAUGGAAACAAACACGACUUUCAGGGAUUAGGUUCCCCCUCCGAUGGAUACAAAGGCUGCUUUCAGGAGCUCGGUUCUCCCUCCGAUGAAUACAAAGGUCGCUUUCUUAAAAAGUGGGAUCGGAGACAAGUUGGCAUAACUCUGUAGCCAAUAUCUAUCCAUUGAAGCGGAACAAGGCGCGUUUCCAGUGAACUCUUCUUUCGACUGUUUAGGGAUUUGAAACAUGCGAAUCACGCUUUUGGGAGGAGCUUCUCCUACCUUGUUAACUUGUAACCGACUCCAGUCUAUUAAAUAGGUGCGUGGUUCUCUGCACCUUGCACCCUUCUCAGGGGGACAAGCGGCCCCUAGCCGCUCGAAACAGAACAAUAAAGCCUGGUUCAGGCAAUUGGGUUUGGCUACGUUUGACAGAUUUGCGGCUGCGAGAAACCAGGACAACCCUGCCGCUUAUAUCACGUGCCAAGUUGAUUCCUUGAAUUAAGUUCCACGCUUCAUACGAAGCACAGAUGUGCCGGUGACUCGCUUUCGGUUCUCGACGCAACGCAGUCCAACGCACUCAAACGCAAGUGUCUGAACCGGACUUACCAUGUCUGUGAAGCCCUUA
rnacentral:ncRNA from 1 species